CUGGAUGUGCUCGUUAGUCAUA
ensembl:miRNA mir-45 ncRNA